CCUACGGGGGGCUGCAGUCGAGAAUCAUUCACAAUGGGGGAAACCCUGAUGGUGCGACGCCGCGUGGGGGAAUGAAGGUCUUCGGAUUGUAAACCCCUGUCAUGUGGGAGCAAAUUAAAAAGAUAGUACCACAAGAGGAAGAGACGGCUAACUCUGUGCCAGCAGCCGCGGUAAUACAGAGGUCUCAAGCGUUGUUCGGAAUCACUGGGCGUAAAGCGUGCGUAGGCUGUUUCGUAAGUCGUGUGUGAAAGGCGCGGGCUCAACCCGCGGACGGCACAUGAUACUGCGAGACUAGAGUAGUGGAGGGGGAGCCGGAAUUCUCGGUGUAGCAGUGAAAUGCGUAGAUAUCGAGAGGAACACUCGUGGCGAAGGCGGGUUCCUGGACAUUAACUGACGCUGAGGCACGAAGGCCAGGGGAGCGAAAGGGAUUAGAUACCCCAGUAGUC
rnacentral:rRNA from 1 species